rnacentral:rRNA from 1 species
AGAGUUUGAUCCUGGCUCAGAACGAACGCUAGCGGCGUGGAUAAGACAUGCAAGUCGUGCGAGGAACUGAAGUGCUUGCUUUGAUGUUCCUAGCGGCGGACGGGUGAGUAACACGUGAGUUACCUGCCUCAAAGUGGGGGAUAGUCCGGGGAAACCUGGUUUAAUACCCCAUGUGGCCUACGGGUUAAAGCUGCCUUCGGGUGGCGCUUUGAGAUGGGCUCGCGUCCUAUUAGUUUGUUGGUGAGGUAACGGCUCACCAAGACGAUGACGGGUAGCUGGUCUGAGAGGACGAUCAGUCACACUGGAACUGAGACACGGUCCAGACACCUACGGGUGGCAGCAGUCGAGAAUCAUUCACAAUGGGGGCAACCCUGAUGGUGUGACGCCGCGUGGAGGAAGACGGUCUUCGGAUUGUAAACUCCUGUCAUCCGGGAGUAAGACAUAUGUGUUAAGAGCAUGUAUGUUUGAUAGUACCGGAAGAGGAAGGGACGGCUAACUUCGUGCCAGCAGCCGCGGUAAUACGAAGGUCCCAAGCGUUGUUCGGAAUCACUGGGCGUAAAGGGAGCGCAGGCGGUUCGGUAAGUCGGGUGUGAAAGGCAUGGGCUCAACCUGUGGACUGCACCUGAUACUGCCGUGACUAGAGUAAUGGAGAGGAAAGCGGAAUUCUCGGUGUAGCAGUGAAAUGCGUAGAUAUCGAGAGGAAGACCAAUGGCGAAGGCAGCUUUCUGGACAUUUACUGACGCUGAGGCUCGAAGGCUAGGGUAGCGAAAGGGAUUAGAUACCCCUGUAGUCCUAGCAGUAAACGGUGUGCGCUUGGUGUGGGAGGUUUCGACCCCUUCCGUGCCGAAGCUAACGCGAUAAGCGCACCGCCUGGGGAGUACGGUCGCAAGACUAAAACUCAAAGAAAUUGACGGGGACCCGCACAAGCGGUGGAGUAUGUGGCUUAAUUCGAUGCAACGCGAAGAACCUUACCCGGACUUGACAUGCCGUCGUCGCCUGAGAGAUCAGGUUUCAGUUAGGCUGGACGUGCACAGGUGCUGCAUGGCCGUCGUCAGCUCGUGUCGUGAGAUGUUUGGUUAGGUCCAGCAACGAGCGCAACCCCUGCGGUUAGUUACCAGCACGUAAUGGUGGGGACUCUAGCCGGACUGCCCAGAUCAACUGGGAGGAAGGUGGGGAUGACGUCAGGUCAGUAUGGCCCUUAUGUCCGGGGCUGCACACGUACUACAAUGCCCGGUACAAUGAGAACCGAGACCGCGAGGUGGAGGAAAUCUAUAAAACCGGGCUCAGUUCGGAUUGGAGGCUGCAACUCGCCUCCAUGAAGUCGGAAUCGCUAGUAAUGGCACAUCAGCAACGGUGCCGUGAAUACGUUCCUGGGUCUUGUACACACCGCCCGUCACAUCAUGGAAGCCGGUCGCACCCGAAGUGUUUUCAAUAAGAGAGCCCUAAGGUGUAGCUGGUAACUGGGAUGAAGUCGUAACAAGGUAACC